AUCUUAUAAAACGCGACAGAAGUGAAGAAGUUCCGUAACAAGUUUUCUAAAGCCGAAGGCGUUAAAAUGAAACUAUUUUUGGCUUGUGCUUUUUUGCUGUCCCUGUGCGCUCUUUGUCACGGAGAAGCAGCUGAUAAACAACCACGUACAAACUUAAAUACGGAAAACCUCCCGGGCUCUGCGUCUUAAUUGUUUAUCCCAUUAUACAAUCAUCAUCUGAUGACUAUGUAAGCAACCGACAGAUAAAUAAACAUUUAUUUAAACU